rnacentral:rRNA from 1 species
GACAGAGGUGCCAAGCGUUAGGCGGAAUCACUGGGCUUAAAGCGUGUGUAGGCGGAUGCCUAAGUACCUUGUGAAAUCCCACGGCUCAACCGUGGAACCGCUGGGUAUACUGGUUGUCUUGAGCCGGCUAGGGGCGAGCGGAACAGACGGUGGAGCGGUGAAAUGCGUAGAUAUCGUCUGGAACGCCGAAGGUGAAAACAGCUCGCUGGGGCCGCGCUGACGCUGAGACACGAAAGCCAGGGGAGCGAACGGG